rnacentral:rRNA from 1 species
GGUAUUGCACUUACCGAAGACUAUCAAACUCCGAAUGCCGUAUUCUUUUGCUUGGGAGUCAGACUAUGGGUGAUAAGAUUCAUAGUCAAGAGGGCAACAGCCCAGAUCGUCAGCUAAGGUCCCUAAAUGUAAGUUAAGUGGUAAAGGAUGUGGAAUUGCACAGACAACCAGGAUGUUGGCUUAGAAGCAGCCACUCAUUUAAAGAGUGCGUAAUAGCUCACUGGUCGAGUGAUUCUGCGCCGAAAAUUUCCGGGGCUAAAACUUACUACCGAAGCUACGGCAUCAUUAUGAUGGGUAGGGGAGCUUUCUAUGUGGCUUGAAGCAUGACCGUAAGGACAUGUGGACUGCAUAGAAGUGAGAAUGUUGGCAUGAGUAGCGAGAUGUGGGUGAGAAUCCCACAGGCCGUAAACCCAAGGUUUCCAGGGGAAGGUUCGUCCGCCCUGGGUUAGUCAGGACCUAAGCCGAGGCCGAAAGGCGUAGGUGAUGGACAACAGGUUGAUAUUCCUGUACCACCAAUAACCGUUUGAGAAAUGGGAUGACACAGUAGGAUAAGCUAACCGCACUGUUGGUUAUGUGCGGGCAAGUAUUGAGGCAGUUCCGAUAGGCAAAUCCGUCGGAAUAAUGCUGGGGUACGAUGCGGAGCGAAAUUUAGUAGCGAAGUAGCUGAUUUCACACUGUCGAGAAAAGUCUCUAUCGAGGUUAAAGGUGCCUGUACCGCAAACCGACACAGGUGGGUGAGGAGAGUAUCCUAAGGCCAGCGAGAGAACUGUUGUUAAGGAACUCGGCAAAAUGACCCCGUAACUUAGGGAGAAGGGGUGCCUUCGAAAGAAGGCCGCAGAGAAUAGGCCCAAGCGACUGUUUACCAAAAACAUAGGUUUCUGCUAAGUCGCAAGACGAUGUAUAGGAGCUGACGCCUGCCCGGUGCUGGAAGGUUAAGGGGAUCUGUUAGAGCAAUCGAAGCAGUGAACUUAAGCCCCAGUAAACGGCGGCCGUAACUAUAACGGUCCUAAGGUAGCGAAAUUCCUUGUCGGGUAAGUUCCGACCCGCACGAAAGGCGUAACGAUUUGGGCACUGUCUCAACAAUAGACUCGGUGAAAUUGUAAUCCCGGUGAAGAUGCCGGGUACCUGCGACAGGACGGAAAGACCCCAUGGAGCUUUACUGUAGCUUGACGUUGGGUCUUGGUACUACAUGUACAGGAUAGGUGGGAGACUAUGAAGCAUGGACGCCAGUCUGUGUGGAGUCAUCCUUGGGAUACCACCCUUGUAGUACUGGGAUUCUAACCAGAGGCCAUGAAUCUGGUCUUGGGACACUGUCAGGUGGACAGUUUGACUGGGGCGGUCGCCU